CCUGGCUUUCUGAGACCUUCCAAAGAUCAGUACUUUUGAGGGUAGUCCCAGAGCCGUCCCAGAAGAGCCAUAAACCCCAUGGUCCGGGAGUGAAAUCUGGCCACAGGAAUCAAGGAGAGCAGCUCUCUGGAUCACACACUGGAGUCAGACCACGGAUCACAGGUACUAGCAGCUGGAAAAACACGCACAUAGUUCAUUUCAGAACUAGCAAAUUAGGCAGUUGGAUUUUGCAGUACAUCACAAGGACUUUGCUUGGUGCUUUCUUGCUUUCUAAAAAUUUAGGAAUUCCUCACUGAAAGCUUACACCUCAACAGUAAUCCAGUGCAGUAAGGGCACUAUGUGGGAGAGGGAUGCUGCUUCACAAUCCUUACCUAGAAAGACACUGGUAGGUCCUUGUGUGUGAGAGACAUAACAUUCUUUGUGCAUUCAUGAAACAUUCCAUCAGGAAGAAAUCAUGUAGUAAAUAAAAUCACAUUCACGUCCCGCUUAUUCCUCCUCCUACUUUUUUGUGAUCAAAAUUUGGAUGCUUAGGACUUAGCGGAAAGUCAAACAGAACGUUGAGAACGUGCAAGAAGAAUCAACACAGGGUUUCCUGAAAUGUACUCACAACUCAUCCAUGGAUGGAAGGGGUUGCAUACUACAUUAUCCCAUCUCCCUAGUUCUAUUGAGGCCCUACCUCUAUGGAGUUCUUGAGAUUAGGACAACCUCUCCGGGCACAGUGAAUAUCAUUUUAUGUCUGGAUUUGAUUAUCAAAAUUGAAGGAUAGUUAUGACGUGAUAGAGGAACAAGAGCUGAUCAGGAAAGAGGAAUUCAGCAAUUAAAUGGAACCUGCUUGACCUCUCUUGGU